rnacentral:rRNA from 1 species
UGAACGCUGGCGGCGUGCCUAAUACAUGCAAGUCGAGCGAACAGACGAGGAGCUUGCUCCUCUGACGUUAGCGGCGGACGGGUGAGUAACACGUGGAUAACCUACCUAUAAGACUGGGAUAACUUCGGGAAACCGGAGCUAAUACCGGAUAAUAUAUUGAACCGCAUGGUUCAAUAGUGAAAGACGGUUUUGCUGUCACUUAUAGAUGGAUCCGCGCCGCAUUAGCUAGUUGGUAAGGUAACGGCUUACCAAGGCAACGAUGCGUAGCCGACCUGAGAGGGUGAUCGGCCACACUGGAACGGAGACACGGUCCAGACUCCUACGGGAGGCAGCAGUAGGGAAUCUUCCGCAAUGGGCGAAAGCUUGACGGAGCAACGCCGCGUGAGUGAUGAAGGUCUUCGGAUCGUAAAACUCUGUUAUUAGGGAAGAACAAAUGUGUAAGUAACUAUGCACGUCUUGACGGUACCUAAUCAGAAAGCCACGGCUAACUACGUG